rnacentral:rRNA from 1 species
UACGUAGGGUGCGGGCGUUAAUCGGAAUUACUGGGCGUAAAGCGUGCGCAGGCGGCCUCUUAAGUCAGAUGUGAAAUCCCCGGGCUUAACCUGGGAACUGCGUUUGAAACUGGGAGGCUAGAGUGUGGAAGAGGGGGGUGGAAUUCCAGGUGUAGCAGUGAAAUGCGUAGAGAUCUGGAGGAACACCGAUGGCGAAGGCGGCCCCCUGGGCCGUACCUGACGCUGAGGCGCGAAGGCUAGGGGAGCGAACGGG